rnacentral:rRNA from 1 species
CUAAUACAUGCAAGUCGAGCGGACAGAAGGGAGCUUGCUCCCGGAUGUUAGCGGCGGACGGGUGAGUAACACGUGGGUAACCUGCCUGUAAGACUGGGAUAACUCCGGGAAACCGGAGCUAAUACCGGAUAGUUCCUUGAACCGCAUGGUUCAAGGAUGAAAGACGGUUUCGGCUGUCACUUACAGAUGGACCCGCGGCGCAUUAGCUAGUUGGUGGGGUAAUGGCUCACCAAGGCGACGAUGCGUAGCCGACCUGAGAGGGUGAUCGGCCACACUGGGACUGAGACACGGCCCAGACUCCUACGGGAGGCAGCAGUAGGGAAUCUUCCGCAAUGGACGAAAGUCUGACGGAGCAACGCCGCGUGAGUGAUGAA